rnacentral:rRNA from 1 species
CAUGCAAGUCGAGCGGGGUUUAAUAAGGAAGUCUUAGGACGGAAAGAUUAAACCUAGCGGCGGACGGGUGAGUAACACGUGAGCAACCUGCCUUUAGCUGGGGAAUAACACUGGGAAACCAGUGCUAAUACCGCAUAACAUCUAUUCUAGGCAUCUGGAGUAGAUCAAAGGAGAAAUCCGGCAAAAGAUGGGCUCGCGUCCGAUUAGAUAGUUGGUAGGGUAAAGGCCUACCAAGUCAACGAUCGGUAGCCGGACUGAGAGGUUGAACGGCCACAUUGGGACUGAGACACGGCCCAGACUCCUACGGGAGGCAGCAGUGGGGAAUAUUGGGCAAUGGGGGAAACCCUGACCCAGCAACGCCGCGUGAAGGAAGAAGGUCUUCGGAUUGUAAACUUCUUUGAUCAGGGACGAAGAAAUGACUGUACCUGAAGAACAAGUCACGGCUAACUACGUGCCAGCAGCCGCGGUAAUACGUAGGUGGCAAGCGUUAUCCGGAUUUACUGGGUGUAAAGGGCGUGUAGGCGGGUCUGUAAGUCAGAUGUGAAAUCUCCGGGCUUAACUCGGAAGGGUCAUCUGAAACUACGGAUCUUGAGUACUGGAGAGGAUAGUGGAAUUCCUAGUGUAGCGGUAAAUGCGUA